rnacentral:rRNA from 1 species
AUUGAACGCUGGCGGCAUGCCUUACACAUGCAAGUCGAACGGCAGCACGGGGGCAACCCUGGUGGCGAGUGGCGAACGGGUGAGUAAUGCAUCGGAACGUGCCCAGUAGUGGGGGAUAACCAGUCGAAAGACUGGCUAAUACCGCAUACGACCUACGGGUGAAAGCGGGGGACCGUAAGGCCUCGCGCUAUUGGAGCGGCCGAUGUCUGAUUAGCUAGUUGGCGGGGUAAGAGCCCACCAAGGCGACGAUCAGUAGCUGGUCUGAGAGGACGACCAGCCACACUGGGACUGAGACACGGCCCAGACUCCUACGGGAGGCAGCAGUGGGGAAUUUUGGACAAUGGGCGCAAGCCUGAUCCAGCCAUUCCGCGUGAGUGAAGAAGGCCUUCGGGUUGUAAAGCUCUUUCGGACGGGACGAAAUGGUUACGGUGAAUAACUGUGACUGAUGACGGUACCGUAAUAAGAAGCACCGGCUAACUACGUGCCAGCAGCCGCGGUAAUACGUAGGGUGCAAGCGUUAAUCGGAAUUACUGGGCGUAAAGCGUACGCAGGCGGCUUUGCAAGACAGGUGUGAAAUCCCCGGGCCUAACCUGGGAACUGCAUUUGUGACUGCAUGGCUAGAGUCUGUC